rnacentral:rRNA from 1 species
AGAGUUUGAUCAUGGCUCAGAUUGAACGCUGGCGGCGUGCUUAACACAUGCAAGUCGUACGCGAAAGGGGCUUCGGUCCCGAGUAAAGUGGCGCACGGGUGAGUAACACGUGGAUAAUCUGCCUCUAUGAUGGGGAUAACAGUUGGAAACGACUGCUAAUACCGAAUACGCUCAUGAUGAACUUUGUGAGGAAAGGUGGCCUCUGCUUGCAAGCUAUCGCAUAGAGAUGAGUCCGCGUCCCAUUAGCUAGUUGGUGGGGUAACGGCCUACCAAGGCAACGAUGGGUAGCCGAUCUGAGAGGAUGAUCGGCCACACUGGAACUGAAACNCGGUCCAGACUCCUACGGGAGGCA